GACGAACGCUGGCGGCGUGCUUAACACAUGCAAGUCGAACGGAAAGGCCUCUUUCGGGGGGUACUCGAGUGGCGAACGGGUGAGUAACACGUGAGUAACCUGCCCUUGUCUUUGGGAUAACUUCAGGAAACUGGGGCUAAUACCGGAUAGGAGCUCCUGCUGCAUGGUGGGGGUUGGAAAGUUUCGGCGGCUGGGGAUGGACUCGCGGCUUAUCAGCUUGUUGGUGGGGUAUUGGCUUACCAAGGCGUUGACGGGUAGCCGGCCUGUGAGGGUGAGCGGCCACCUUGGGACUGAGGUACGGCCCAGACUCCUACGGGAGGCAGCAGUGGGGAAUAUUGCACAAUGGGUGGAAGCCUGAUGCAGCAACGCCGUGUGCGGGAUGACGGCCUUCGGGUUGUAAACCGCUUUCGCUCAUGACGAAGCUUUGUGUGACGGUAGUGGGUAAAGAAGCACCGGCUAACUACGUG
rnacentral:rRNA from 1 species